rnacentral:lncRNA from 1 species
AGGAGCAGCUGUGGCGGCGCGGUAGGAGCCCCACAGCGUCAGGGCGGGGAGGGCGCUUGGAGAUCCCCCGGGUCGGCCCCCUCCGCACCCCGAUCGACUGAGGCCCGGAGAGUUCAGGAACCGGCUCGGGAGACCUCAGCGCCCGAACUCGGAGUUUUCGGACUUUUCAGGCCUCUGCCAAGGGCUUGGACUCGCAGAUGGUGGAAAGCUGCACUUGAAGUCCAACUCUGUCCUGGGGGAAUAAUUAUGUUCCCUGUCUUGGGAGCCUUUCUUCAGGGAGCUUGAUGGUUCCAACCCACCCAGGAGCCUGGGACAUCUGUGCCCCUGGGCAAUCCCCUGCAGUUUCCUGAUUCCAAGAUGAGGGGGUAGAAUCCGAAGAUCUCCAAGGCCUUGAUGAGUGCUACCAGUCUGCAAAUUCCCAAGCCAAGUUCUUCAAUGAAUCAAAUUUCCUCCAGUAGCCAUUUCUACCAAAGGAGCAACUGUUUUUCCUUCCCACUGACAUGGCUAUGUAUUCGAACUGGAUAUAGGUGAGAGGCAUUUUUGUCCUAGCUUCUCGGGCCCCUCCAAGGAGCUCCAAGAGGCUUAAGGAUCCCAGCCAUGUUGGGAUAAAAAUACCCAAUCAAUCAAUAAACAUUUUAUUUAAAAAUGAUUUAUUUAAAAAAUCACACAAUUUGAGAGCAAAUACAGAAGAUAUGAAUUAGCAAAACGAACAAAAUUAAAAUCUCAUACAAUCGCAGGACACUGGGACCUGAAGUCUUGGAGAGGAUGUAAUCACUAAGUCAUCCCAAGGAAGAGUGGGAUGCCUACAAGAGAGGGAUGCCUACAAGAGAGGGAUGCCUAAAUUGGUUACCCCUAAGCCCACCGACUUUUAAGGCAUGUGUAAGUGAGUGGGAACCUGCAAAAAGACUGGAAGGAGCAGCCAGAGAGGUAGGAAGAAAACCAGGAGUGCCUGUUGUCACGGAAGCUGAGGGCAAGGAGGACAGUGGUUGGGAGAAUCUGAUGCAGCAGCUCCAAGGACCAUGGCCCCAGGAACUAGGCACAAGUGACAGGAGACACUUGCUAUGUCUAAACCCAGUGCACCCUCAGCCCGGCCUCGCCUUUUCAAGGACGGCUAGCACAGGCCAUCAUCCUGGCCCACGAUGAAGGUGAGCAUCAAACUCCAAUUUCUGAAGAGGAAACUGAAGACCAGAGAGGGGAGGUAAACAUCCCAAAGUCACCAGCAAGUCAGUGGGAGACACAACUUUAACCCUAGUUUUGACUGGCAGUCUGUGGGCAUCGAGGCCACCAUUCCAUGUACCUAAUGUGUGUCUGGCAGUGUUCCAGGCCUCACCUGCAUCAUUUCUAAUCCUCUCAACCAGAGGAUCAGAGAGGUGGCGUUUUUACCCCUAGUACACAGAGGAGGCGCUUGGGGUUCAGAGGCACGUGUGGAACUAGACCGACGCCACUCACCCCAGCAGGUGGCCAAGCGGGAUGGGAGCGCGGGUCUCCCCAUCCCCAGCGGUGACGGGCGGCGGCUCUUUCCUG